GAGCGAGCACGCAGCCACGUGGGGAGGGUCCGAGGGAUCUUUCUCUUGGCUUGCGGUCAUUUUUCACUACCAAUUUGUUGUAAUGAGACAGCCUUACUUCACUUGUAAAAUGAGAUGAUGGCUGCAAUCGAGAACUCAACCAGCGCUGUUCCCAUUAAAUGGGAAUACUAUUAUGAUUAUCUUGACCCUGUAAUUGUGGAUGAGAGCAAGCUAAAAUACAAUAAAUAUUCAAUUGUUAUAAUACUUUGGAUCUUAAUGGCUGCCUUUAUGGGAUUGCUCUUUCUCAUUUUGAAUCUAAUAUCUCGCAGAGGAAACUUGCCUAGGACUCACAGAUCCAAACGAGAGGUCACGACAUUGACUGAAGCUGAAUGAGAUGUGAAGAAAAAGGUUAAAAAUCAAGGUGAUGGACCCAAUUCAAAAUCCAAAUGAUAGAGAUGCAAUGAAUGAAAGUUUGGAUUAGAGGUUUUGAGACCAUGUGUAAAAAAAACUAAGAUUCUGUUUUCUUAGCAAUUCAUUAAAUACCUACAAAGUGCAAAGCUACCAUUUUUCACAAGAAUUAUGUAACUUUUAUCCUGUCCUUUAACCUGCAUUGUGUGUACAUGUGCCCCUGCCCUAGAUGUUAAGUACAAGGAGAGCACAGGUAUUUUUCUGUGCUUUGUCAAGAAGGCAGUGUUACUGCAUUGAAUCCAAUUUC